rnacentral:lncRNA from 1 species
AUGCCUGAAUCAGGCCAGAACUGGGCCAGGAGCCAGGACUGUACCCAGGGCUCCCACCCGUGUGCGUGGCCGGUCCCCGGGGACUCCCAGGGCACAGGAUGGGGUGUGUGGGGGGGAACCGGGACUGCACCCAGGGCUCCCACCCGUGUGCGUGUCCGGUCCCUGAGGGCUCCCAGGACGGGGGAUGGGGCGUGUGGUGGGGGGAACCGGGACUGCACCCAGGGCUCCCACCCGUGUGCGUGUCCGGUCCCCGGGGACUCCCAGGGCACAGGAUGGGGCGUGUGGGGGGAGCCGGGACUGCACCCAGGGCUCCCACCCGUGUGCGUGGCCGGUCCCCGGGGGCUCCCAGGGCGCGGGAUGGGGCGUGUGGGGGGAGCCGGGCUAGAACCCCGGCCCCACCAGGACGAAGCGGCGACGCUCCGAGGGCCAUCUUGGCCCCGGCCCUCAGGGCCUCCGACGAGGCCGCGGAGGGGCAGCGACCCUGGCCGAGGGCGCCGCAGGGCGGGCGGUGGGCGCGCGGCACCGGGUCGCGGCCCUCCGGGAGCUGCCCUCACGCCACCCUCGGGGCUCACCCGGCGGCGCCUCAGGCGGCCUGCAUCCUCCGCGGGGUGAGGUCAGAGGUCGGCGUAGGGGUCAGAGGUCGACGUAGGGGUGAGAGGUCGACAUAGGGGUGAGAGUACGACGUAAGGGUCAGAGAUGGACGUAGGGAUAAGAGGUUGAAGUAGGGGUGAGAGGUCAACGUAAGGGUCAGAGGUAGACAUAGGAGUGAGAGCAUGACGUAAGGGUCAGAGGUCUACGUAGGGGUCAGAGGUCGCCGUUAGGGCGGCUCAGCUCAGGCCAGGCCGAGCCGCGGCCCUGGAGACGAGGCUCCGAGGGUGUCAGGUCGGGAGGCUGUUUACGGGCGAGGCUGGCACUCUGGCUCUUCACGGGCUAUUUCCUGAAAAUACCGGUGAACACUUGGAGGCGCGGAGGUGCCUGCGUGGAGGCGCCUGGGCCCGCGGCCCCGGCAGAGCGCUUUUGUGCUGUGCUCGCCCUCUAGCGGCCGGCGUGUGUGACUGCACCCUUUGUGACCGCGGCGGAGGGAACCAACUGCCUGCCUCCCUCUGUCUGUAUCUCCAGUUUGGCUUUUGAUUUCCAAAAUAAACGUUGUUGUGGCGGUUUCUCA